AUAAAACCUAAACGAAAACUCAAAACUUUAUGAAACUAGGUGAAAUCAUGUAACAGGUGACUCUCAACAAGGCUGCAAAGUUUCAUGGAGAUUGAUCCAUAGGUGGCGCUAUAACAGUAGAAAAGGUCUCAUAACACAAGAUUUAGAUGGUAAAUGGCCUCAAACUGUUUGAAAAUGCACAUAUAUUCACUCAAAAACACCAAAUCUUCAUAUCAUAUGAUAGAUCUCCUCAUUCUGAAAAACUUUGCCUCUGGGACCAAUUUUGUCAAUAAAUCUGUUAAUUAAAUAUUCAAGAUUAUUUGAAAAAGUUACUUUGGCAAAGUAUUCCAAGGCUUUAAGCUGAAAAUCAAUAAAACCACUGAAGUACAAUUCUCUAGACUCAGAAGGUCAAUAAUUAUCAAAAACAUGUUGAACAAUUGCAUUUGGACAACUAUAAACCAGUAAUUUUAUAAUAUGUUCUUUUCAUAGUGUACACAAAGGCCUAUUAAUACAAACAGAAAGCCCACACAUUAUCAAAACUGUGUAAAACAAUGCGUAAUUUCAUUCUAAACAAGCAUGCAAAAUUUAAGAGAGAUUGGGCAAAAAAAAAAAAAAAACACUAUAACAGUUAUGUUUAAAAACAGUGUUGCUUGAGUAAAUGCAAUUUAUAACCUCUAGAUGGCAGUGGAAGACCACUAAUGGGCUCAUUCAGUUAAGUUGAACAGUACUGUUGAAAGGAUUCAUGAAUUCAUCCCAAAACAUUAAAAAUGUAACUGUUAUAACAUUUUAAAUCUCAUUGAGUCAAUGUUUUCCAUUUUGUUCUUACAGAUAUAUCAGUUUUUACUAUUUUGCCACAUUGUGAUUACAGUUUAACCUGAAAAUGACAUCUAAACUCUUACAAAGAGAAGACUUGCAAUAAGUUUAUUGUCACCUAUCACUUAUUUCAAAUACCUAUAUCUGCAACAAAAUGUUUGUGCAUGUAUAUGUGUGUCUUUCUGUGUGUGUGUGUGUGCAUAUGCUUAUAGAGUAUACAUAUAUUAGUCUAAUCAUUUACUUUCAGUGUGUGUGUCUGUCUGUUAGCCUGUUCUCCAUUUUGGAUGUGUUUAAAUGUCAUCCAUGCAUCCAGGUUGGCUCUGACCACCUCAGAGGCCUUAAUGUGCUUGAACCCCGGUAAAUGCUGCUUGCAGCUUUAAUUAUUAUUAUUAUUAUUAUUAUUAUUAUUCUUCCGCCCUAGAACUGAACGUGCAGCCCAAACCGUAAGGCCUAGAGAGCUGAAAUUUGGACAGAUCGUAGAGCUCAUUUUGGGGAGAACUUAUCAAAGUCUCAGCCCAAUCGGCCAAACGGGGGCGCUAUAGCGCAAAAAACAAAAAUUUUGGACGUUUUUGACCGUGAAUCG